rnacentral:rRNA from 1 species
ACGUAGGGGACGAGCGUUGUCCGGAUUCAUUGGGCGUAAAGCGCGCGUAGGCGGCUCGGAAAGUCGGUCGUGAAAUGCCGGGGCUCAACCCCGGGACUGCGUCCGAUACUCCCGAGCUGGAGGCAGGUAGGGGAGAUCGGAAUUCCUGGUGUAGCGGUGAAAUGCGCAGAUAUCAGGAGGAACACCGGUGGCGAAGGCGGAUCUCUGGGCCUUGCCUGACGCUGAGGCGCGAAAGCUAGGGGAGCGAACAGGA